CUUCUUCUUCUCCUUCGAUUUCCGAUGUGGUCUGUUUGUCUGGUCCUCCAUCUUGAAAAAGAAAAAGCAAGAGCAAGCUCCCGCCUUGCUCUUUCAAGAUAAACGAAGGGCUUGAAAACUGCGAUUUCUAAAAAUUUGGUUUUUGGACAAAAAAAUGAUUGAGUUUAUCCGAGCGGGCUAUAUUGUGAUUGGUUGAAAGAAGCGUCUUACUAAGAUAGUCAAUUUGUCCGCCAAGUAGCUAUGUUUUUUACUUCCUUCAAACCUUCAGGCAGUGCACCACUAGACAGGAUGCAGCAAGAUAUGUUAUUCAUGUAAUAUGAUGUAUAUUGCUAUUCCUCACAAACUAGUUGAAGUGGAGAACAGAAAUGAUGAAGUUCAGGCUAUUGUAUAGUCAAUCAAGUCCAGAUUGCUGGAGCACUCAAGCACUGAAAUUGAAAGAAUAGCUGUGCGCGAUCUUUUUCCUUUCGAUGACCAUGAUGAAGACCUUUAGCUUAGGGGUGCUGAGGGACUCCGGCGGACAAAGCCUAUGUUAAUAUACAGUGCACAAUAGUCUACAUCAAAAAGCACAAUACAGACC
rnacentral:sRNA from 1 species